CCCUAAUCCAUGAAGACUGCUGUUUCACAGUCAACAAUGGCAGGAGUCCUUCCAAAAACAUCUUGAAAUUUCAAAAGACUGGAUCAGACUGUCCAGAGCAAGGCUUCAUUGUUGAUAUUCCUAACUAUAAAAUUCUGUGUGUUCAUGAAGUCGUCAUCAAUGGAAAACACAUUACACCUUAAGGCUGCAAUUCAGAUCACACUGCAACACACACGCACACACACACACGCACACGCACACACAUGCACACACACACACACACACACACACACACACACACUUCUUUACUAAAGUGUAAGCUUAGCCAUUUCUUCACCACAUUUAUCAACCAUUUAUUAUGACGCUUAAUGUUGUUAUUGUUGCUUAAUGCAGUGCAGAUUCAAAUAAAGUUAUCAUUGCA